AUUGAACGCUGGCGGCAGGCCUAACACAUGCAAGUCGAGCGGAUGAAGGGAGCUUGCUCCUGGAUUCAGCGGCGGACGGGUGAGUAAUGCCUAGGAAUCUGCCUGGUAGUGGGGGAUAACGUCCGGAAACGGGCGCUAAUACCGCAUACGUCCUGAGGGAGAAAGUGGGGGAUCUUCGGACCUCACGUUAUCAGAUGAGCCUAGGUCGGAUUAGCUAGUUGGUGGGGUAAAGGCCUACCAAGGCGACGAUCCGUAACUGGUCUGAGAGGAUGAUCAGUCACACUGGAACUGAGACACGGUCCAGACUCCUACGGGAGGCAGCAGUGGGGAAUAUUGGACAAUGGGCGAAAGCCUGAUCCAGCUAUGCCGCGUGUGUGAAGAAGGUCUUCGGAUUGUAAAGCACUUUAAGUUGGGAGGAAGGGCAGUAAGUUAAUACCUUGCUGUUUUGACGUUACCAACAGAAUAAGCACCGGCUAACUUCGUG
rnacentral:rRNA from 1 species